AGGGUUUGAUCAUGGCUCAGAACGUACGCUGGCGGCACGCCUAACACAUGCAAGUCGAACGAAGUAGCAAUACUUAGUGGCAGACGGGUGAGUAACAUGUAGGUAUCUACCCUUUGGCCUGGAAUAACACGAGGAAACUUGUGCUAAUACCGGAUAAGUCUUUACAGAGAAAGCUUUAUGCACCAUUGGAUGAGCCUGCACUUGAUUAGUUUGUUGGUGGGGUAAAGGCCUACCAAGACUUUGAUCAAUAGCUGAUUUGAGAGGAUGAUCAGCCACAUUGGGACUGAGACACGGCCCAAACUCCUACGGGAGGCAGCAGUGGGGAAUCUUGCACAAUGGAGGAAACUCUGAUGCAGCGAUGCCGCGUGAGUGAAGAAGGCCUUUGGGUUGUAAAGCUCUUUCGUCGGGGAAGAAAAUGACUGUACCCGAAUAAGAAGGUCCGGCUAACUUCGUGCCAGCAGCCGCGGUAAUACGAAGGGACCUAGCGUAGUUCGGAAUUACUGGGCUUAAAGAGUUCGUAGGUGGUUGAAAAAGUUGGUGGUGAAAUCCCAGAGCUUAACUCUGGAACUGCCAUCAAAACUUUUCAGCUAGAGUUUGAUAGAGGAAAGCAGAAUUUCUAGUGUAGAGGUGAAAUUCGUAGAUAUUAGAAAGAAUACCAAUUGCGAAGGCAGCUUUCUGGAUCAUUACUGACACUGAGGAACGAAAGCAUGGGUAGCGAAGAGGAUUAGAUACCCUCGUAGUCCAUGCCGUAAACGAUGUGUGUUAGACGUUGGAAAUUUAUUUUUCAGUGUCGCAGCGAAAGCGAUAAACACACCGCCUGGGGAGUACGACCGCAAGGUUAAAACUCAAAUGAAUUGACGGGGACCCGCACAAGUAGUGGAGCAUGUGGUUUAAUUCGAAGAUACGCGCAGAACCUUACCAACACUUGACAUGUUCGUCGCGACUUUAAGAGAUUAAAGUUUUCGGUUCGGCCGGACGAAACACAGGUGCUGCAUGGCUGUCGUCAGCUCGUGUCGUGAGAUGUUGGGUUAAGUCCCGCAACGAGCGCAACCCUCACUUUUAGUUGCCAUCAUUAAGUUGGGCACUCUGAAAGAACUGCCAGUGAUAAGCUGGAGGAAGGUGGGGAUGACGUCAAGUCCUCAUGGCCCUUACGUGUUGGGCUACACACGUGCUACAAUGGUAUUUACAAAAGGAAGCAAAACGGCGACGUUUAGCAAAUCCUAAAAAAAUACCUCAGUUCGGAUUGCACUCUGCAACUCGAGUGCAUGAAGCUGGAAUUACUAGUAAUCGUGGAUCAGCGUGCCACGGUGAAUGCGUUCCCGGGUCUUGUACACACCGCCCGUCACACCAUGGGAGUUGGUUCUACCUUAAGGCAAGGUUUAAAACCCUUGACCACGGUAUAGUCAGCGACUGGGGUGAAGUCGUAACAAGGUAGCCGUA
rnacentral:rRNA from 1 species